UACGAAGGGAGCUAGCGUUGUUCGGAAUCACUGGGCGUAAAGGGCGCGUAGGUGGCGCGACAAGUCCGUGGUGAAAGCUCGAUGCUUAACAUCGAGUCGGCCACGGAUACUGUUGGGCUUGAGCACUGUAGAGGCUAAUGGAAUUCCGGGUGUAGCGGUGGAAUGCGUAGAGACUCGGAAGAACACCGGUGGCGAAGGCGGCAUCCUGGACCGGCAUUGACGCUGAGGCGCGAAAGCUAGGGGAGCAAACGGGG
rnacentral:rRNA from 1 species